UACAGAGGGGGCAAGCGUUUGUUCGGAAUUACUGGGCGUAAAGGGCGCGUAGGCGGCCUUCUAAGUCGAACGUGAAAUCCCCGGGCUCAACCCGGGAACUGCGUCCGAGACUGGAAGGCUCGAAUCCGGGAGAGGGAUGUGGAAUUCCAGGUGUAGCGGUGAAAUGCGUAGAUAUCUGGAGGAACAUCGGUGGCGAAGGCGGCAUCCUGGACCGGUAUUGACGCU
rnacentral:rRNA from 1 species